UACGGGGGGAGCAAGCGUUGUUCGGAUUUACUGGGCGUAAAGGGCGCGUAGGCGGCCAGCACAAGUCAGUUGUGAAAUCUCCGAGCUUAACUCGGAAAGGUCAACUGAUACUGUGCGGCUAGAGUGCGGAAGGGGCAACUGGAAUUCUUGGUGUAGCGGUGAAAUGCGUAGAUAUCAAGAGGAACACCUGCGGCGAAGGCGGGUUGCUGGGCCGACACGUGACGCUGGAGGCGCGAAAGCCAGGGGAGCGAACGGG
rnacentral:rRNA from 1 species